UUCUGUUAUGGCUUUAUUGAAGGAGAUGCAAGAAGAGGAGAUUUUUUAGGAAAGAAAAACUAGGGUUCAUCUUCAAGGAAUAGGGAUGAAAUCCAAUUUGAGAAAAUCCUAAAACCCAAAGGUAAAAUAGAUAUGCUGUAGGUAGGUACAAUUUAACCCAUGUUUUGUAGUUUGAUGAAAUAGUUCAUUGAUUUCUUAUCUCUGCAUUUCUUAUGUUGCUUAUUUUUUCAAAACCAUAGAUUAAAAGUAUAGUGAUUUGAUUAAGUUUUGAUUUUAACCUUAUGUUUAACCCUCAAAUUUUAAGCUGUUCAUUUGCAAUGUUUAUUGUCCUAUUACUACAGGCUAUAGGCAAAUGAGAAAAAAGGGCAUAUACCUUAUCAAACUCAAAAGACUAUUAGCAACAACUAAAGGGCAUAAUCCCUUAAAUGAUUUUUGGCAUCGAGUGCUAGGAUGAAAUCCAUUGCAAAGGUAUUCUCUAUUUCCUUACUUAUUUUGGGGCGAGCUUAUUGGAAAUGUUUGAAAAUCAAUUUUCAUUGGCUAGAUAUUUGUUACCCCUGUAAAUGUCCCAAUAAAUUCAGAUUCAAGUUGCUUAUGCAGUUUUGGCUACGUAAGAAAUUCUUAUAAUAAUAACUAUAAUAUGUUUCAAGUACCAGUUUUAAUCCUUUUUAAUUACUAUUCUUUUAUUAAAAAGAAGGCAUUGUAAACGUUUUAGAAUUUAUAGAAUCUCAUGUUCAUCCAUGAUUUUGAUGAAAUUACUGUAAAACAACAACUGUUGUGAAUUUCUAUUGUAAGUACUAUAAUUAAGUGACAACAGUGUCAUAAUGGAGGUAUGAGGCUAAUUAAGAAGCUUCUAGGAUUGCAGAUUUGACAACUUUAUGUUACAUUUACCAUA
rnacentral:lncRNA from 1 species